GAUACGAACCAGCAGAUACUGUGUAUUGUCUGCUCUUAUUAUCCACUGAACAUAAUGAGGGCUUUCUACAUUGUGCUCCCUCUGCUGAUAUCUGGAUCAUAUGUUCUUUCCCAGACAGUUACUCUGGACCAACCUGGAUCUGCAGUUGUGAAACCCUCUGACACCCUGAAAAUCCCAUGUCAAGUCUCAGUGUCUAUUACUAGUGAUUACUGGGGUUGGGUCAGACAGAAAGCAGGAUCAGCACUGGAAUAUAUUGGGUAUAUACAUGGUGGUGGAAGCACUUAUUAUGCCCCCUCCUUCCAAGGAAAAGUCACUUUCACCAGAGACACAUCAAAAAAUGAACUUUACUUUGAAAUGCCAAACAUGAGAAGUGACGAUUCCGGGACAUAUUACUGUGCGAGACACACUGUGACUGAAGUAAAGUAUAACUCGUUUUAA